UCUUCUGAAAACAUGAAUAUGCUACUGGCCACAAAAAGGUUGAGGACCACUGCAUUAGUGAUUCAUACUGACACUCAUGACACUGCAUCAAGGAUUAUCUGGUAGAUAAUAGAUGACUUCAGGGAAGUGUGCUGAAAAAGACUAUCCAAGCAAGACUAUCUUGAGAUCCUUCCUGUCCCAUGAGCAAAGGAAGACAGAAGGCAGAAAAUUCUGGAAGUGAGUUGCUGGCUAGACAUUGUGUGCGACUCAGCCAAACAGCUGAAGACCUGCUGACCAGAAGAGGGGUGCUCGUGAGAGGUGGGUGCUGACCCCAUUGCAGGGAGGAUAAAAAGAAGGAAGAUAUAAGCGCUCAGUCAGCACAAACCAAAGACCAUGAAACGAAGAAAUCCCUAAAUUGUCUAUAUGCUAAUGUUAGGAGUCUGGGAACAAACGAGGAAUUGGAACUGCUCAUUUAUUAGCAUAAAUUCAAUCUAGUUGGUAUUA